GCGACCUCAGGUCAGGCGGGGCCACCCGCUGAUUUUUAANAAUAAA
rnacentral:rRNA from 1 species